GGGGUCAUCAGCAAUAUCUUCCUGGUAGAAAAAAAGGGUGGUAAAAUGCGCCCGUUUAUCAACAUGCACCCGCUAAACUCCAGUGUACGCUACCGGCAUUUCAAGAUCUUAGGGAUUUACUCCUGCACAGGGAUUGGUUGGCGAAGCUAGACCUGAAAGACGUACCUGCCGGUGCACGUGACUUCCAGGGACCUCCUACACUUCCGCUGGGAGGAACGCAUAUGGUGCUCCACCUGUCUACCGUUUGGUCUCUCUUCACCAAGCUGCUACGUCCAGCUGUGACCUGUUCGUCUUAUUGUUUAUCUGGAUGAUAUUCUGCUCAUGGUCCAGGAUCGCUCCGUCCUCCUGCAGCAUCUGCGAUGGAUGGUGGAUCUGCUGACCCGACUGGGUUUUCUCAUCAACUGGGAAAAAUCUUGUCUGUCAACAUCCAGACGCAUGGAAUUCUUGGGCUUCCUUGUGACCUCGGAGGAGGACUCCUUGAGCCUACCUGCGUUGAAGGUUCAGACGAUCCGCAAGGAACUUCGCAGGGCACUUACCCGACCCCAUCUCACCCUGCGUCACUUGGCGAGACUCAUCGGACUGUUGGCAUCGUCGAUCCAGGCGGUGUUCCCGGCUUCCCUCCACUAUAAAGCUCUCAAGCGGUUGAAGAUUGCAUAUCUUCGAGCGGGAGCGUCAUAUGCGGGCCUGGUAUCAAUGGACAGGGAAACAAAAGACGAAUUGCGUUGGUG